CUAAAAGAGUUGACAAUUUUAUUUUCACAUUUCCCAAUACAAAUGAAAACUGCAUCUUUUUUGUCCCACUUCUCCCCUCCAAAACUAUUCUCUUUGAUAGGAGAGGGGAGCAAGACUUCCUUAUGCUGUUUAGAAAACCCAGCAUCACAGCAGCAUGAUCUCCUGGUGAAGCAGAACAGGUAAUAUAAAACCGACAUAAUGAGCCCUCUCCUUUAUCCUUAUCUGUCUGGUCAAGUCUUUCUGGGCCGAGUGGGCACCAUCAUGGGACAGGCAGGAGGUCUUAUCACUGGGGACCCAGGCAUCAUUGGCCUGUGGCCUCCCAUAAGCGGCCUCAUUCCAGGAGCAGGUCCCCCUGGCAUCAUCCCAGGAGGAGGAGGGCCCAUCAUUGGCAUCAUGGCAGGACCCCUCAUAUGGGGUGCUGGCAUCAUACCAGGGUGAGGAGGACCUGGAAGACUAGGGGGAGGUGGUAUCAUUGCUCCUACAGGAGGAGGAGCAGAGAAUGGAGCAGGAGGUAUCUUUCCUUGUUGAAAUGCAGCCGUUGUUUUGUCAAUCAGGCUCUGAGCCUGCUCUUUCAUCCAUUUCUGAUAGUAGUCUUUCACAUUCUCUUUGUGUUUCCUACCACUGCAGUGUGUCUUUCUCACAGGAGGAGAGUCAUGGGUGAGUAGCUGGGACUACAGGCACAUGCCACCACACCUAGCUAAUUUUUAACUUUUCUGUAGAGGUGGGAUCUCACUAUGUUGCCCAGGCUGGUCUCAAACUCCUAAGAUCAAGUGAUCCACUUGCCCUGGCCUCCCAAAGUGCUGGGAUUACAGGCAUGAGCCAC
rnacentral:lncRNA from 1 species